rnacentral:tRNA from 1 species
GGACUGCUACCAAAUCGUCCGCUUGGCAGGUUUAAUGAAAACCCUGAAUGCGGAAGGUCGCGGGUUCAAAUCCCGCCCGGUCCACCA